rnacentral:lncRNA from 1 species
GGGUCGGGCCCCGACGGGCGGCGGCGUCUGAAUGGGGUCGAGGAUUUGGUCUUUUGGGUUCCAUUUUUGGAAAAGAUGGUGUAUUAAACCAGCCAAACAGUGUCUUUGGACUUAUAUUUUAUAUACUACAGUUAUUACUUGGCAUGACAGCCAGCGCAGUUGCAGCUCUGGUCCUCAUGACCUCCUCCAUCGUGUCCGUGGUGGGGUCUUUGUACCUGGCCUACAUUCUGUACUUUGUGCUGAAGGAGUUUUGCAUCAUCUGCGUCACCACAUAUGUGCUGAACUUCCUUCUCCUCAUCAUCAACUACAAACGACUGGUUUACUUGAAUGAGGCCUGGAAGCGACAACUGCAGCCUAAGGAAGACUGACGGCCAGGGCUCUCCACCCAACUGUCUCCAACACUUCUUUCAUUAAGUUUAUUUUGCAAGGUUUUUUUUUUUUUUUUUAAUUCACAACAGACACUUUCCCUGAGAAUCUUAAACUGAUUUUUUUUAAAAUAUUGUAAAUUAGAAGGGGCCCUAGCUAUUUCCUGUGUCAGUCUUCAUUUUAAAUCUGGAUACAAAAAAAGGAUACGCCGAACCAAUCAAAGACAAGCUUUACCUUUACCUUGAAGAUGUUUCUGAGAUAAUAAAAUGUAGCCCUAGCCCCCGGUCCUUAACCGUAAAGUAAGCAGCCAUUGCUAGUAAUUCUUUAAUGUGUAUAAAUUCAAUUUCAGGUAUAACAAAAUGUGAUCAUGAACAUGAAAAUAUUUUAGAAUAGAUACUGUAUUAAAUAUUGCCAUGUUUACAAUAUGUAAUAUGUUUUUAGCCGAUGGAUUUAAACCUGUAGAUUCAAUUAGAGUCCAUUCGUGUGAUAUUUGUAAAUAAAGGUAGAAACAUUGGAUCCACCCCUGCAGAACUUACUGUACAGUUUAGUUGAAGAGUAGCGAGGGACUGUCAGCUCACCGGGACUGAUAAACAGUGGAGGGAGUAGACGCAGACAGAACGUCUUGGGAGACGUGCUGACAGCCCUGGCGCAGUGUUGACAGCGGAAACAGGAGGGUGGUGGGUUCCCUUCCAUCUCCUACUCUGAGAGGAAGAGACUAAGUCUGAACAUCCAAGUCAAGCUUGACUAGUCAGAACUGGAUGGAUCGGACCUUACGGGAUGUCACGUGACUAGACCUUUUAAUUCCAAGGAUCUCAGGACACUGACCGUGGGAAGUGGAUGUAGUCUUUGGAGAAAAACUGAAACCACUAUGGCAUUUCUGGGCAAAGCCUCUUAUACAGUAGCUGACCUCACAGAGGUGUGUUCCCUCGGUUCCGGUGCCAGUGAGCUCAGCAGUAUUAGACUGAAGCUGGCACAACCAAGUGCUCCGAGGUCAGUCCAGAGUGUUUCCCCUUGUCCUUUCUUCUUGCACUAAGGAUUGUCAGUAAGCGUUUCAGAAUCACAUACUGAAUUUGUAAACCUUAGGGCUGUCGUGAGGAACCGUUUGCUGACUCAGAAGAAACACAACAUGUAGAAAGAUCUGGAAGAGAAAUGUGGAAACUUUGUCCCAUUCUGGUAGCCACACAGAAGCAGUGAGAAGAAACCCAGAGGUGAUCUGAAUAAACCCUGGUGGCAUAG